ensembl:lncRNA
GUUGCGUCAUUUCCGGUCACCAGCCCCGGGCGCGGUAGCCCUAGCCCGCCUUAGCUGUAGGGGUUCUCUGGAUAGAGGCCUCAGUUUGGAGGUUAAAAGUACAGCUCAAAUGCCAGGGAUGGAGGUGAGCCUCCAAGGAAAUUGCACCUCUGAAGAGAAGUCGUAGUCUGAAGAGAAGCUUUAGCUUCCAGCUCCUUUCAGACAUCUUCUGAACGGCUGUUUGGAGGAAAAGCUGGUAGUGCUGGAUCAGUCAACAGACAAAUAGGACAAAGCUGACUUAGAGGUCCUCAGAGCAUUGGCACUGGCAAGAUCAGAGAGAUGGGGAAUUACUUGUGCUGAAGCAAUUCCAGACCCUCUUGAGCAAGGAAUCUAAAAUUCGUCUGAAAAUAAUGAAAACUCUGUGUCUCUGGAAGAUUUAACCCAAAUGAGGAGAUAAGUAUGACUUACAGAAAGCAUACACUAAUGGACUAGACUCAGAAGAAGGCAGUCGGCAAAGUGAAAGAUUCUCCCUCCCCUCACAAUGGUGCACAAAGGAGAGAGUCUGGCUACCAUGCUUCUGACUGCAAGGCACCAGCCAUCUUGGAUUAUGAAGUCAAGUUCAUACAUGAUGGACCAACAAGAUAGAAGAGCCUGGGUCCCUGAUGCUUUGGAAUGCCAUGGCAGCCCUCACCACCUACCUAGACUUUUUGUGUGGUCCCUGGUUAAGUCACUGUUAUUUUGAGGUUUUGGUUAGUUAUAACUGAACUGAGUCUUAAUUAAUGAAAGUAUAUUUCCAACAAAGUGAAUAAUACAAUCAAAUGCUAAGAAAUGAGACUAGUUCAGCUGAUAAAUGAGAAGUUCAGCUGGUAGAAAUAAAGCCGUUGUGCUAGAAAAUAGAAGAAAAUAAGACUAAAUUAUAUGGUAGUCUAGAUUGUGACAAAAGAAGCACCAAUGGGCCAGCUGAGUAAUUUGUAAUUUAUCUUGCAUAUAAACUAGAGCCAAUGGAGUAUUUUUUAAAAGAAAUAGGCCAUAGUGAAUGUAAUGUUUGAGAAUGAAAUUAUAACCAAAUGGAUAUAUGAGGUAAAGGAAAGUGAAGAAUUGAAAAUGGUAUGCUGGUAUCCUUGAGAAAUGGAGUCCUGAGGAAGAAGGGACAUAUUUAGGAUUGAGUUAGUUCUGAAGAUAUUGCAUUUGAGAUGAUAAGAACAUGAAGUGAACAUGGUUUAUGGGUAACUGAAGAUUCAGAACUAGAGCUUGAGGUGUCAGUUCUUUAUUUAGAGGAACAGUGCUAAUAGCUGAAACAAAAAGAAUAUAGAGAGAAUUGCCAUGCCCAAGGCCUGAGCUUUGAGAAAUACUCCCAUAAAAAGCAUAAAAGGUAGAAGGUAUCAUGAAAGAUCAGAGAGAUAGAAGAGCCAGAAUAAAAGGAAGGGGGAUGUAUGGACAAGGAGUGAGUUUCAUGACAUGAAGGAUGUCAUCAAAUCCAGCAGAAAAACUGAAAAGAAUGAGGACAAAGAUAGUGGACAAAGAUAGUGGGUUUAGGUGUAGCAAAGGGAGUAAUUGUGAUCUCAAAGGCUGAAUCUCAGAAAUAGCCUGGGAAAACUAAAGAUUUGCAGUUCCACAAGGAAGGAAUUUUUGAGUCUUCAAGAAAAGAAAUCCUAGCAGGCUGUAGUGUAUAGAAGGAGAGACUAAAGUAUAAUUGGGGCUUUUGCUAGUUGGUCCCAAGCUUAUUUAUGUGGUUAAUGAGAUCAUUUACUCACAGUGAGGGUGGAGUGUGGAGGAGAUUGAAGAAAAAUCUGAAUGAUACCCAUCAGAGAAGAGAAUAACCUAGGGAGUCCAUGUAAUACAAAUAGUAGUGUUGUCUAACAGCAGUGAGGGAUAUAUUGAAGAUGGUCUGAGAGAACUUUUAUUUAUUUAUUUUUACCAAGUCAAUAUAUCAAUUGAGAAUGCUUUUGGCUACAAAUAACAGAACAUUUAAAGUAAUAGCUUAAACUAUAGUCUACAGCAGAGUAUGGCAAAGUAGGGCCUAUAGGCCAAAUCUGGCCUGUUUAUGUAAAUAAAAUUUUAAUGGAACACAGCCAUGCCAUUUGUUUACAUAUUGUCUGUGGCUGCUAGAGCACUAUAAUGGCAGAAUUGAGUAAUUGGGACAUAGACUGGAUGGCCUGUAAAGCCUAAAUUAUUUACUGUCUUUUCCUUUACAGAAGACAUUUGCCACCGCUGGUCUAGACUAGAGGAACAUUUAGUGCCUACUCAACCAGAAGUCUAAAGAUAGACAGAUUCAAGGUUGAUUCACUGGUUCAAUAAUAUAAGGAAAUUAUUAUCCCUGCAUAUCUCUUCCUUAUUUCUUAUUGUUGCAAGAUGGCUGCCACAGCUCCAACCAUCAUUCUACAGUGUUUAAUGCAGGAAGAAAAGGCAAGAGAUAUGUGGCAGAUGGCCAUUUUCUCCUAAAGUGAUUUUUUUCCUUUUAUUAAGGAGCAAAAACUUCUAAGAAGUGCCCAUCAGUGCCCUUAACUUUUCAUUGGCCCAAACCAUGAGACACUGAGAAAUAUUACUGCAUAGAAUACACAAGUGAUGAUAGUUCUCUUUCCCUAAGAUCCAGUAGGUCAUAUUUCCAGUGUUUAACGGGUGAGGAGAGGAAAAGGAACACACAGAGGAGAUAUAGGAAGAGUAGUCCUUCAGCUACAAGAAGAAGUAGAAGUGAGAAUUGUUGAGGAAGACAAGGAAGUGGAGAGUUAAAAGAAAGAGGAGCAACCAAGCAGAGAUUCUAUAAGAUAAGGACAAAAAAUGCCCACAAUAUUUGGCAAUUGAGUGGCCGCUGCUGACUUUAGUCUUUGCCGCAGUCUUUUAGACUUUGAGAGCAGAAGUCAGACUGAAGUUGAAAGUAAGGAAGUCAAACAGUGUAAGAAAGGGGAAAAAAAAGACUGAAUAAAUAUUAACCAGAAGAAAGAUAUGGGUUAAAGAAAGGGAAUUUUAGGUUGAGAAAUGACCUGAAUAUUUUUAAAGGACAAGGAGAAAGAGCCAUUGAGAUGAGAGAGUUGAGGAUGCAAAGAAGAGACUGACUGCUGGAGUGAGAUUCCAAAGGAGACGAGAUGAGGUCAGAGGUGCAGAAGAUAAGAUUAGCCUGGGGCAGGAGGGAUGCUUAAUCUCUGGGGUUGGAGGAAAACAGGUGAAGCGAUGUGUAGAAAGAAACAAAAGUACCAGUUUGGGUGCUUUCAUAUGCUAGUAACUGAAUACUAAUGAGAGGUAUCUUUAGCAGGAAUUUUUAAAUCAUACACAAGAAAUCCAGAGGUAGUUACAGCGUUGAUUAAUUCAGCCACUAAAUGUGGAAAGUUCUGGAAUGGCUUCUCUAUGAUUCUCUUAGCUUUCUCCUCUUAGUUGCAAGAUGCGUGCCACAGAUUCAAGCCCCAUGUCCUCUCAUAACAAUGUUCAAAGGUGGGCCGGGGUAAGAAUUCUUAUCUUUCCCUGUCUGUCUUUUUUUUCUUUUGUUCUUUUUAUUUUAAUGUUUCAAACCUAUUAAAAAUUUGCAAUAAUAAUGCGAGGAACUCCCAUAUGCUCUUCAUCUAGAUUCAGCAAUUGUUUACAUUUUGCAUCAUUUGCUUUAUAAUUCUGUGUGUGUAUAAUUUUUUUCUGAAUCAUAUCUAAGCAUGUUGCCAGCCCGAUGCUUUUUUUCACUCCCAUAUACUUCUAUGUAUUUCCUAAAAACAAGGAUAUUCUCUUACAGUCAUAGUAUAAUAUCAAAAUGUGGAAAAUUAACAUUGAUACAAUAUAAUUAUUUAAUCCACAAUCCAUAUUCAAAUUUCUCCUUGGUUGUACCACUAAUGUCCUAUAUAGCUACCUUUUCCCCUUGUCCAGGAUCCAGGCUGGACUCACUUGUAUUAAGUUGCCAUGUAUUUAGGCUCCUUUGGAAUAGUUCCUUAGGUUACUUAGCUUCUUUGUCUUUCUUGUUUUAACAUGUUUGAAGAGCACAGGCCAGUAAUUUUGUAGACUGUCCCUCAAUUUGGAUCUUCCUGAUAUUUCCUCAUGA